AAGACCUUGCGCUUUUGGAGCGGCCGAUGUCUGAUUAGCUUGUUGGUGAGGUAAAGGCUUACCAAGGCUUCGAUCAGUAGCUGGUCUGAGAGGACGGCCAGCCACACUGGGACUGAGACACGGCCCAGACUCCUACGGGAGGCAGCAGUGGGGAAUUUUGGACAAUGGGGGCAACCCUGAUCCAGCCAUGCCGCGUGAGUGAAGAAGGCCUUCGGGUUGUAAAGCUCUUUCAGCCGGAACGAAACGGUUACGGAUAACACCCGUGACUACUGACGGUACCGGAAGAAGAAGCACCGGCUAACUACGUGCCAGCAGCCGCGGUAAUACGUAGGGUGCGAGCGUUAAUCGGAAUUACUGGGCGUAAAGCGUGCGCAGGUGGUUUUGUAAGUCAGAUGUGAAAGCCCCGGGCUCAACCUGGGAACU
rnacentral:rRNA from 1 species